rnacentral:tRNA from 1 species
AGUGGCUCAGUGGUAGAGUGCUUGCCUUGCAUGCAUGAGGCCCUGGGUUCGAUUCCUCACACUA